UCAGGUAGGAGAGGCAAUCGCCCUGUCAUUCGACGGGGAGGAAAGUCCGAACACCUUCUCUGUAAUUUUUGCAGAGGAACGUUCAGGGUAAUACCCUGCCUAUCGUAAGAUGAGGGGUGCGAACAGUGACGCUCCGAGGCGAAAGCCGAGGAGCACCACGAGCGAAGUCGAGGGGUGAACCCUUCGACAAGCUCAGGGUGAUUUCCAAUGGCGACAUUGGAAAUGCAACGGCUAAAUCCCUGCGAGGUGCAAGAGUAAACCCAAGGGUUUGCAUAACAUGUAGACUUCUUGGUGAAAAGUGACUCGCUUGAGCAGGUAUAGUAAUGUAUCUGCCAGAUAGAUGAUUGCCAUCCUGUCUUUCGCGAGAAAGACAGGAAACAGAAUUCGGCUUAUAUCCUGCCUGAACCA
rnacentral:RNase_P_RNA from 1 species